ensembl:lncRNA
UGAAUGCAAUAAUUAAAUGUAGCUUGAUCUCCAGCCUGAACCGAGGAGGGGCGUAUUGGAUGUUUGCCAGUAAACCACGCUACAUGCAAGACAUGUGCUCUCCCUCUCAUACACACCCUCUACACAAGGAUUGUUAGCUGUUUAAUACCCAUUACUGUUAUUUCUCUCUAAGAAAAAGCAUCUAAAUGAGCUUUUGUAGAGUGAAGCAGUUAACUUAUUGGUAAAAGAUUUAUUGGGAUUUUAACCAAUAUGUCUUUAUACUACACUUAAACUUUUUAUGAUGAAUCAAACCAAUAUGCAGCAUCGCCUAUCUGAAACUGUUGUCCUUAAUUAGGAUACUUCAAAAUGAAUGCUGUGCAAUCUCAAAACCAUUAGCUAACUAAAGAAAAUCCUCCAAAUUCACCGUGUUUAUCUCCAACUCUUUGGCAGUCUCUGCGAUCAAUAUCACAACCCCCCCCAAAAAAUGGGAAAAAAUGAAAAAAAAUUAAGAAAAAAUUUUUAAAAAAAAAUCCCAUCGCUUUAAAGACAAGUAUAUCUACUAGACUUGAUUUGACUGAAAGCCUGUACUUAAACAUAAUGAAUACGCAUAUAGAGGGUGUACACAGGGCAUACAUAAUGCGCUUUGUCUACCUCCACCCUUAAGAGUUGAGUGCCAAUAAAAAUAAUAAAAUGCAAAAAUAAAUAAUGCAACAAGCAGCCAAAGCCAUGACCCCUAUAAAAUUUGUUUUGAAGAACGCAUUACAGGAUAAUAAAAUAAAAUUGAGCUCAAACACAUGGAGAGAAUUCACUCUGCUAAACUUGUCAGACCUGCGGCUACAGUGGCGCUUGUAAACAACCCUACCUACAAGCACACAUUCAGCCUCAUGCAAACGCACAUGCAAUCUCACACAAACAGCAGAGGCUCACGGAUUACUCUGAAACAUGAAGAGGGGGAAAUCUUCAAAUGGAGAGGGAGAAAGAGGAAACCCAAAGAAAAUUUAAAAAGAAUUUGCUCACAAGGCAGAAAGGGAAAAGAAAAAUAAUCAAACAGUACCUCCUAUAGCAUCCAUGUCAGGAGAGAAGGGUGGGACACCUGCAGAACCUCGCAUGUCUAUCCAGAG